GACGAACGCUGGCGGCAGGCCUAACACAUGCAAGUCGAGCGGACCUUUCGGGGUCAGCGGCGGACGGGUGAGUAACGCGUGGGAAUAUGCCCUUCUCUACGGAAUAGUCCUGGGAAACUGGGGUUAAUACCGUAUACGCCCUUUGGGGGUAAGAGUUAUCGGGGAAGGAUUAGCCCGCGUUGGAUUAGGUAGUUGGUGGGGUAAUGGCCUACCAAGCCGACGAUCCAUAGCUGGUUUGAGAGGAUGAUCAGCCACACUGGGACUGAGACACGGCCCAGACUCCUACGGGAGGGAGGAGUGGAGAAUCUUAGAGAAUGGGGGCAAACCUGAUCAAGCCAUGCCGGGUGAGUGAUGCAGGCCUUAGGGUUGUAAAGCUCUUUGAGAUGGGAAGAUAAUGACGGUACCAGCAGAAGAAGCCCCGGCUAACUACGUG
rnacentral:rRNA from 1 species